rnacentral:rRNA from 1 species
AAAGGUCACCUCAAUCCGGAUGGAAAUCGGAUGAAGAGUGCAUUGGCAUAAGGUGGCUUUACUGUAAGAGGGACACCUCGAGCAGUUGGGAAACCAGGUCAAAGUGACCCUAUGGUUGAUCGUGGGAUCGCCAUUGUUUAACGAAGAUAAGUUACCCCGGGGAUAACAGGCUAGUCGCGCCCGAUAGUUCACAUUGACGGCGCGGAUCGGCACCUCGAUGUCGGCUCGUCGCAUCCUGGGGGUGGAGAAUCCCCCAAGGGUUGGACUGUUCGCCCAUUAAAGCGGCACGUGAGCUGGGUUCAGACCGUCAUAAGACAGGUCGGUCUCUAUCCGGUAUGGUCGUAGGAUAUCUGAGGGAGUUUGCCCCUAGUACGAAAGGAUCGGGGUGAGCCAACCUCUGGUGCACCAGUUGUUCCACCAGGAGCAUCGCUGGGUAGCUAUGUUGGUAAGGGAUAAGCGCUGAAAGCAUAUAAGCACGAAGCCCGUCCCAAGAUUAGAUAUCCUUGUCCCGCUAACUUAUAGCAUGAAGAAUCUUCGUGUUAUGGGUUAGCGGGGCGUGAGGUUCGUCGAAGACUACGACGUUGAUAGGCUUCAGGUGUAAGCACAGCAAUGUGUUUAGCCGAGAAGUACUAAUAGACCGAAAGCUUUUUAUGU